UGCUGGUGGUGAAGCGCCCUGGCUCCGAGCACUGGGCCUUGCCUGGGGUAAGCUGGGGAGGGCAGCA
rnacentral:snoRNA from 1 species